rnacentral:rRNA from 1 species
AACGCGAAGAACCUUACCAGGCCUUGACAUCCUGAGAACCCUCCAGAGACGGAGGGGUGCCCUUCGGGGAGCUCAGAGACAGGUGCUGCAUGGCUGUCGUCAGCUCGUGUCGUGAGAUGUUCGGUUAAGUCCGGCAACGAGCGCAACCCUCGCCAUUAGUUGCCAGCAUUUCGGAUGGGCACUCUAGUGGGACUGCCUAUGAAAGUAGGAGGAAGGCGGGGAUGAUGUCUAGUCAGCAUGGUCCUUACGGCCUGGGCGACACACGUGCUACAAUGGCCGGUACAACGGGCUGCCACCUCGCGAGAGGGACCUAAUCGUUAAAGCCGGUCCCAGUUCAGAUUGCAGUCUGCAACUCGACUGCAUGAAGUUGGAAUCGCUAGUAAUCGCGGAUCAGCCAUGCCGCGGUGAAUACUUUCCCGGGUCUUGUACACACCG